rnacentral:rRNA from 1 species
AGGACGAACGCUGGCGGCGUGCUUAACACAUGCAAGUCGAGCGGUAAGGCCUUUCGGGGUACACGAGCGGCGAACGGGUGAGUAACACGUGGGUGAUCUGCCCUGCACUUCGGGAUAAGCCUGGGAAACUGGGUCUAAUACCGGAUAUGACCUCCUAUCGCAUGGUGGGUGGUGGAAAGAUUUAUCGGUGCAGGAUGGGCCCGCGGCCUAUCAGCUUGUUGGUGGGGUAAUGGCCUACCAAGGCGACGACGGGUAGCCGACCUGAGAGGGUGACCGGCCACGACUGGGACUGAGACACGGCCCAGACUCCUACGGGAGGCAGCAGUGGGGAAUAUUGCACAAUGGGCAAAGCCUGAUGCAGCGACGCCGCGUGAGGAGUGACGCC